GAAGUAUGUUCCCUGGACCAGCGGUAUCAACAUCACCUGGGAAGAUGUAGAAGCACAAAUUCUCCUGCCUACUCCAGACCUACGGAAUUAGAAACUCUGGGGCUGGAGCUCAGUAAUCUGUGAUUUACCAGUCCUCCAGGUGAUUCUGAAACAUGCUCUCGUGUGAGGACCACUGCUGUAAAGGCAAGUCUGUCCACUUGUAAAACCCUGUGAUUCUACCUUGCCUGAUAAUCUUCACCAACUCGAAACUGUAGUGAACUCCGUAUCCUCUCAUUGAGCAGACCUCUUGGCCUCAAAAGGAGAUGUAAGUCCUUGGAAAGAGUUAGUGAUGCGACCACUCAAUUCCGUGGCCUCAGUGUCUUACCAAGCCCUUGACUCCUGGUGUUUGUCCUCAUAGUCCCUGUGCUCUGUGCCUGUUAUUAAGGUCAGAAGGACCUACUCCUGCACCCAAACUCACCAUCUGCUUACCCGGCAGACAGAAGAGAUGGAAGCAGAGGGAACACCCACAGCACAGGAUCAGUCAUCAGCAGUGCUCAGAACAAGGCCUCGGACUCUUCUCUCAAUUCAACUCUUCCAGCAACUCUCCUGUUUUCCCAUCUUGCUUGGAAGAGCGCAGACCAACGGGUAACACAGAUGAAAGCAAUGUUACCAUAAUACUCAGUAUUUAGAAUAAUACCUUUAUUCCAGGGUGCUCUGCAGACAUUACCUCAUUAAUCUUCAUAACAUCUUUAAGAAAGGAGGAGGGAAUAGUUUCUGCCCUCAUUUAAUGGAUGGCAUAGCAAUGGCUUAAGGCCAGGACAUGAUUCAGUGUCAUGGCUGAAACAAAGCCACAUUCCCCAAACCCUCAGGUCGGGGCACCAUCAGCCGCUUCAGGAGUAAGCGUAGCUCUUUGGGGUAGCCAACAGGGAAGGG
rnacentral:lncRNA from 1 species